GGGAUAACCUGGGGAAACUCGGGCUAAUACCGCAUGACAGAAGACAGAAGACAGAAGACAGAAGACAGGUGAUUGUGUGACUGCGUCACAGAUUUUGAAAAUUUGUCGCGAAGUGACACAAUGAUCUAUCUUCAGUCCUCUGCCUUCUGUCUUCUGAAAGCGGGGGAUCUUCGGACCUCGCGCUAUAAGAUGAGCCUACGUCGGAUUAGCUUGUUGGUGGGGUAAUGGCCUACCAAGGCGACGAUCCGUAGCUGGUCUGAGAGGAUGGUCAGCCACACUGGGACUGAGACACGGCCCAGACUCCUACGGGAGGCAGCAGUGGGGAAUAUUGGACAAUGGGGGAAACCCUGAUCCAGCAAUGCCGCGUGUGUGAAGAAGGCCUUCGGGUUGUAAAGCACUUUCGGUGGGGAAGAAAUUCUCAAGGGUAAUAUCCUUGGGCGCUGACGUUACCCAUAGAAGAAGCACUGGCUAACUCUGUGCCAGCAGCCGCGGUAAUACAGAGAGUGCAAGCGUUAAUCGGAAUCACUGGGCGUAAAGCGCGCGUAGGUGGAUAUUUAAGUCGGAUGUGAAAGCCCUGGGCUUAACCUAGGAAUUGCACCCGAUACUGGGUAUCUUGAGUAUGGUAGAGGGAAGUGGAAUUUCCGGUGUAGCGGUGAAAUGCGUAGAUAUCGGAAAGAACACCAGUGGCGAAGGCGACUUCCUGGACCAAUACUGACACUGAGGCGCGAAAGCGUGGGGAGCAAACAGGAUUAGAGACCCUGGUAGUCCACGCCGUCAACGAUGAGAACUAGCUGUUGGGGAGUUUACUUCUUAGUAGCGAAGUUAACGCGUUAAGUUCUCCGCCUGGGGAGUAUGGCCGCAAGGUUAAAACUCAAAGAAAUUGACGGGGGCCCGCACAAGCGGUGGAGCAUGUGGUUUAAUUCGAUGCAACGCGAAAAACCUUACCUACCCUUGACAUCCUCGGAACUUGUCAGAGAUGAUUUGGUGCCUUCGGGAACCGAGAGACAGGUGCUGCAUGGCUGUCGUCAGCUCGUGUCGUGAGAUGUUGGGUUAAGUCCCGUAACGAGCGCAACCCUCGUCCUUAGUUGCCAGUGAGUCAUGUCGGGAACUCUAAGGAGACCGCCGGCGAUAAACCGGAGGAAGGUGGGGAUGAUGUCAAGUCAUCAUGGCCCUUACGGGUAGGGCUACACACGUGCUACAAUGGGCAGUACAAAGGGUUGCCAAGCCGCGAGGUGGAGCUAAUCCCAGAAAACUGCUCGUAGUCCGGAUUGGAGUCUGCAACUCGACUCCAUGAAGUUGGAAUCGCUAGUAAUCGCGAAUCAGCAUGUCGCGGUGAAUACGUUCUCGGGCCUUGUACACACCGCCCGUCACACCAUGGGAGUG
rnacentral:rRNA from 1 species